GGGAGAGAGGAGAGAGGGAGAGAGAGAGAGAGAGAGAGAGAGAGAGAGAGAGAGAGAGAGAGAGAGAGAGAGAGAGACACAAAGGGAACCCGAACUGAACUUGUCUUUGAGUCGAACGUCGCUGGAUGUGAAUGAGGCCCCAUCCUCUUUCACAUCACACACACACACACACACACACACACACACACACACACACACACACACACACACACACACACACACACACACACACACACACACACACCCCCAUAGGCGCACACAUCCCCUGUUUGAAUACCCAUGUCCUCUUGAUAUUAAAAGAAACUCGUCCAGUCUUGAUUUCGUCCACUCCACGCCCAUCUAGAGGCUUCAGACUCGCAGCCCCGCCGCACACCGACGGUGGCGUCCGCCUCCCGAAGCCACACACGGGGUAACCAGGAACAGACGGGCUGGACCGCGGAGUCUCGCUUCGGCGUUACCAUGACACUUCUCCCGAGGGAGUGGAAGAGGCACUCUUAUCCGCGGAGAGACACCAUGUGCUCCUCCCAGCUCCGUGGCAAUCUGUCCUUUUUUUUUCUAAAUGCAAAACUCUCGGAAGAACUUGUUUUGUUUAUUCCGUAGCAAGUUUGGACGGAUACAGACAGAUGGACAGCUCCCUCUCUCUCCCUUCUCCCCCUCUCUCUCUCUCGCUCUCUCUCUCUCUCUCUCACACACACACACACACACACACACACACACACACACACACACACACACACACACACACACACACACACACACACACACACACACACACACACACACACACACACACACACGCUGUGUCGGUACCGGCCGGCGCCCGAUGCGGGAACAUCAGUCUUAAUGAGUUGUUUAGCCGAGUGUCGGCCCUAAGUGAGGUCCGUCCAGAUGCUGCUAGCCCAGCAGCCAAGUCCCUGUCUGACGGGCCCGUCUGGGGGGGGCUGGGGGGCUUCACCGGGGCAGCCUUGGAUCUCUGCUCAGACCUCGUCUGCGUUCACUACUGCUCACAUCAACCUGCUCCUUUUUCUGGUACUUCGUUGUUCUUUGUCGUUGGUUUUUUUUGGGGGUUAUUCUCUGUAAUUAUUUCUCUGCUCUUCUCUUCCAUGUUUCUUUGUUGGGUUGAUUUGUCAUUUCCGUUGUUUCCUUCGUUCUUUGUUCCGUUCUUGUUUUGUUCAUUUGUUGGUUGGUUUGUUUAUUGUCACACACACACACACGCGCACACACACACACACACACACACACACACACACACACACACACACACACACACACACACACACACACACACACACACACACACACACACACACACACACACACACACACACACACACACACUUACCUGCAGGAUCUAAGAGGGGGUCCUUUUGUUAUUCAUGCCAGUGUAUUCCAGACAGACUUCAAGAAGCACAGCGAAUUCAGCCAUGCUAAGGUUACUGUGUUGUUGUAUCAAGGCUUUUGGGUGUGUGGGUGUUUCUGUUUGUAGAACUGUGUUAGCUUAGAAGCUCGGGUCAGUGGCUCGCCCACUGUGAAUAAACCAGCCUCGGUCCUUAGACAAGGUCCUUUAAAGAUGAACUCUCUCACGCUCUUUCUGUUUCUCUCUCUGUCUCUGUCUCUGUCUCUGUCUCUCUCUCUCUCUCUCUCUCUCUCUCUCUCUCUCUCUCUCUCUCUCUGUUCUCCUUCUCUCUGUCUCGCCCUCCCUCUCUCUGUCUCUCUCUUUCUCUCCCUCCCUCUCUGUCUCCUCCCUUUCUCUCUCUCUCUCGCUCUGCGUUCACUUGAGAUAUGUUACGACACCAUGUGUGAACUAGGUCUCAAGCAUGGCAAGUUUUCAAACAUACCAAAAUGUGGCAUUUUUGGACCUUCAAAUAUUGCAUCUCAGUGAACGCACCUCUCUAUCUCUGUCUCUGUCUCUGUCUGUCUCUGUCUCUGUCUCUGUCUCUGUCUCUCUCUCUCUCUCCGUCUCUCACUCUCGCUCUCAUGCUCUCUCGCUCACACAAUUGACCAGGCCAUCUGUGCAGCCUAUGCAUCACUGCAGCCUAUUGACGAACCCUUCGUUGUCACCCUCAUCUUCCUCAUCAUCUUUGAUGUUGAAGGUUUGUGAGAACGCGUGUGUUUGGGGUUCGUUAAGAGUGGAGCUACCACAGGGUGGCCAUUUUUCUUGUCUUUAUUUUGUUUAUUUUCUCUGCUGAAUGCAGUUGUCCCCUAACAGCCGUUUGUCUGACUGCUGUAAGACCAAGGCUAAGGGGUGUACAGGUUCCCACAAACAGGGUGACACACAUUUUCUAUUACCUUGUUAUGUACAGAAUGAUUGUAAUUUUUCUUGUCUCUUUUUGAUAUCUAUUUCUGUUUUACGCGUCUGGUUUUGUUUGUGAUAGGGUUCUGGUGUAGAUGUAACGCCCUCUGUGUGUGUGGUUUCACUGUUAAGAGCUCACGGGUUAGCUCGCGUUAGCACCGCCAUGGGUCAAAGGAAGGAGGGAUGGAACGCACCUCUAUGAAAAGAGGAAGACGUGGCAGUUGGGGGACGCCAUUUUGGAUCUUCCCUGAAUAAUGGGGAGGUAACCGAAAAAGACAAAUGCAUAACAAACGGAUAUUGCGCAUAUUUCAAUUUUUAACAAUCUAGUUAUAAAACAAAGCAUUCUUUCAACAACUCAUCCGCAUUCAUAUUUAAUAUGUUUGGUUAUGGUCUAUUUUGCACUGCAAUUAUUUGUAAAAAUAAUUAUUUUGUGUGUCAUUUUACCUUGUCCCUCAUUAAGGGAAUAUCCGUUAUUAAACGUAGAUAUACGAUCAUUCUACUCAUUUUCAUCCACACAGCUCUUGCCCAUCAACAGGCUGAGGCAGCCACGGUGUACGGUUCUCAUUCUCCCUUUUAUCUCUGAGGGGGGGCUUUUGUAACGCUCGUUCCUCGAGGAGCAGGUGAGGUGGCGCUUCAGACGCAGCUCAGCGGAGACGUCCUCGCCGCGCCACAGCGCGCGUGACUGCCAAGCAUCUGUGCCUCUGCGACACGUCGCCUCCACUUCCUGUCGUCAGCACACGGCCACCGUGUUACGCAGACGGGGGGGGGGAGAGAGAGAGAGAGAGAGAGAGAGAGAGAGAGAGAGACCGGAGAUAUGGGAGAAAGAGAUGGCAGAGAGAACGAGACGAAAGAGAAAGUUUGGAGAAAGGGACAACAGUAGUCUCGCAAAGCCAGACCAAACUACAGCAGAGACAGGAGAGGGGGGUGGAGAGAGAGAGAAAGAGAAGCAGAGAGAGAGAGAGAAGGAGAGGAUGGUACAAAGUUAAUCCCUUCCCUCUAUAGUGUCGGGGUGGGGAACGGACGGGGGAUUUCCGAAGGUUCUCUAUAAAUGUCAUCGACCCUGAAGCAUCUGCAGCAGCCGACUCAAAAGAAUAAACCCGCCAGACAUGCUUUUCGUUCCUGACUGGGAGUCUGUCCCAUGUGUCACUUUCCAAAUAAAUGAAUUUUAAUCCUUUGCACAAAUGCCAUAGUUUCGACGUGUCACCGUGUUUAAACGUCACAAACGUCAGAGUCACUGCGUCGUGUUUAAAGCCCUGAGCACCGGUCUCACGAUUUUCAUUCGGUGUCUCGUGGUAGCAUUCGCUCAUCGACCGAGUCUGCCUCACCGUCGUCAAGGAGACCGCGGUCAACAGCAUCCAUGUUUUGGACAGAACCAAGCAAUCCACCGAGUGUGAAUCUCCCCGGCGUCGUUGGAACGAAACCCGUUUGUUUAUUGGAAAAAGCAGAGAAGACAAGCGCAAGGAGAUGGAUUGUAUUUGAAGGUUAACGCUCCUGCCAGCCAUGGCUCUUUAGAAAUGCGCUUCAACUCUGGACUCGAAGCCCAGGCAGUUGGGUUUUUGUUAAUAUGCAGUGGAUGUCACCAGGUGAUCGGAUUUCUGAAAUGAAAAACUGGAAAAAAUCGUUUUUCUCUGGUCCAAAGCAUCAAAUUAAAAUAUAUUAUUUCUGGACGGUUGCUGCAACGCUCCCUCAUUGACGUAUACAAGUUGACCAAAGUAAACGUAGUAGGUUACUAUAGUUGAAUAUGAGUAUAGGCCUACAUACCAAAAUGGUUUUCUAUGUGUUAAAGCUCUGUAGACCAGCUAAAAACAAGCCAAAGUAGGCAUCUCAAAUAAGAAAUUGUUCUUUAUCGUAUUAAUAGUGACAGAUCAUGCCUGCUUAUGGUUUACAUUUGAUAUAUAUAUAUAUCAAAUGUAUAGAACCCCCCAGCACAGCAAGUUCAGCACACAGCCUGUAAGAUAGACACAAGGCUAAUUACCAACUGUCUCUAAAUUAAUAUUCAUGAGCUAGCUAUAACCUUUGCCAGUCAAAAAUCUAUGAAUAUCAUUUUGAAUCCUAUUUUUAAAACACAGACAUUUCCGGCGACAGCUCCGGGCAUAGACGAGCCCCGGAAAACUGGGAAGUCUGGUCCCACAUGUAUUUCAUGCCUUUGGGAGCCAGUAAAGACUAGCAAACAAGCUAGCUGGCUAACCAGCUUUGCUAUGGACCUUUGGAAGCCAAUAAAGACUAGCGAACAAGCUAGGUGGCUAAAUAGCUAUGCUGUUGACCUUUGGGAGCCAAUAAAGACUAGCGACCAAGCUAGCUGGCUAAUGACUGACUAUCGGGGGUCAGUUAUCAGGAAAAGCCACGACAAAAAUGUAAACAUCUACAUCCAUCCACAGAAACUGCAUUCUUAUAUGCCCCAGAAUUUUUAUUUAGUUCUGUUAAUCUCUAGCACCAGAGAUUGAUUUGGUGUGACUUCACGAUCCAUAACCAACCUUCUCUUUCUGUGAACAUCUGCGGGACAAGAAAGCGAUGUUAAGAUUAGGCCUUAAAAUGGAAAAAGCGCAGUGCUUCGUCGCUACGGUGCACGGUGAAACGUCCGCUGUUUAAACAACAAAAGCCAGUGUUUAUACAGAGGACAUGGAAGUGUUUAAACAGGAGACGUGUGGAGUGAGUUCUGAAUGACUCGCCAACGAGCCAAGCCAACAUUCUGCCCGGCGAUAUUAGAUCUCAACUUACUUAGCCCGUGGUUAAUAAUAACCGUCUGAGUCCGACACCGCAGUGAUUGGAAACCCCUUCUUUAUCUCCAUCCUCGGCCACUUAGCAUCUGCCCCCGCUUUGGAAGUGAAUAUGGGAGUCUGGUUUGUUUUUCUAAUGGACGGAGUGGAGGAAAUGAAUGUCCUUGAACAACCCGUUCUGAUGUACUGCAGUGGACUUUAUUUUGUACCUGAACCCCCCCCCCCCAUCCCAUGUUUAAAUAGUUGUUGUUUUUUACAGAAACCCUAACAGACGGCGAAUUGUGUUUUUCGGUGCCUGUGUGUUUGUCAUUGGUGUAAAGUUCCUGUAGUAGACUCCCGUUUGUGAUUGGUCGAUGGCCAGCAGCACAAGCAGCCGGUUUUUUUGGUGAACUUAUUAAAAGCAAGCGACUCUGAUUCUAACUCAACAA
ensembl:lncRNA